rnacentral:lncRNA from 1 species
AAAUAUUGUGGGAGAAUGAUCUCGUAAUCACGAAACUUCUAAGUAUCGGAAUGUGGUAUCGUCUUGACUUGCCUUAUCUGUCUCAUAGGUAGAUGUGGCAUCUUCUCUGGAAGUACUCUUCCCUCCAUCCAGGGGUGGUAUCUUUAACUGGUGGAGAUGCACAAGGUAAUGUAUCAAUUUCACUUGAAGCUUACUUGUAGUUUCAGGCUUGGUCAAGCGCG